UUCUUUCUCUCUCUCUCUCUCUGUCUCUCUGUCUCCCUCUCUCUUUGUCUCUCUGUCUGUCUCUCUCUGUCUGUCUGUCUGUCUGUCUGUCUCUCUGUCUCUCUCUUUCUCUCUCUCUGUCUGUCUCUCUCUGUCUCUCUUUCUCUCUCUGUCUGUCUCUCUCUGUCUGUCUCUCUCUCUCUCUGACGAUAACGCUGAUGAUGAUGACGACGAGGACAGUAAUGACGAUGAAGGCUGGACUAGACAGGAAAUUGAAUCGACUUAACUUUAACGCAGCGUGUGUAACAUAAUCCACUCGUCUGAUAUUUAAGAACAGGUACAAGCUCGAUGCCAGAUGUUUGCUCUCACGUCUUUAGACUGGCGUGUACAGGCUAACGAGCGAGGGAAGCUCAUAGACACCGGUUUAGAAAUAAGACACUGGAUCCAUAAUGGCUGUAAAAGUGGAGUAGAUUAUAGUAUAUUGCUGUAAUGGCUCUUAAAUUAGCCCGGUAAUUUUUAGACUAACACAACUAGAUUAUGUGCUCGCAACAUGCUUUUCUUCAACCUUAGGAAGGUAAAUGGAGGUGUGAAGGAAAUGCGUGGAAGCAACACAGAGGCGUCGUCUAGAUUUGAACCCCGAUGACCGGAUUAUGAGGCGUUGCGUUAGAUUACACUCCACCGCACCACUCGCUCACAUUAGCCAAAAGCGCGUCUUCUUCAGUUUCUCUCAGACACGGAUGAAGACAGCUAGCUUAGCGUAGCUGAGGUCUUGUUUCCGUUGAAGGUUUAAAGUUGUUUAUCUUGUCGUGUAAUGGAUUAGAUUGAGUGUGUGGCGUGUGAAACACCUGCACACGUGCAUCCGUGUGAGCAGGCAGGAGGUAAAUGAUACGCUAGCUGCUCAGUUAAACGCUAGUUAGCGAGGAUGAGAGAAAGAGGGUUUUUUUCUGUCUCGCUCUCUGUCUCACUCUUUCUGCCUCACUCUACUGCACUCUUUUGGUCUCACUCUCUGCCGCUCUCUUUUUUUUGUGCCUCACGCUGUACCUCACUCUCUCACAUUCUUUGUCUCACUCUUUUUCUACCUCACACUUCGUCUCACUCCCUGUCUCACUCUUUGCAUCUGUCUCUAUAUAUAUACCUGUCUCACUCUUUGCCUCACUCUAUCUUGCUCCUUUUCUGCCUCAUACUUAGUCUCAUUCUUUGCCUGUCUCACUCCCUAUCUCACUCUUUGCAUCUCUCUCUCUAUCCGUCUCACUCUCUAUGUGCUUUGUCUGUCUCACUCUCUGUCUCUCUGUCUCUGUCUAUUAUCCAGCUCACUGUUUUUCUGUCUCGCCCUCUAUACGCUCUUUGUCUACCUCACUAUAUGUUUCACUUUUUUCUCUCUCAGUCUUUGUCUCACUCUCUCUGUCUUACUAUCCGUCUCACUCUCUAUAUGCUCUUUUGUCUGUCUCACUCUCUGUCUCAUUCUUUGUCUGUCUCACUCUUUGCCUUACUCUCUUUCUAUGUCUCACUAUCCAGCUCAUUCUUUUUCUGUCUCACUCUCUGGAUGCUCUUUGUCUGUCUCACUCUCUGUCUCAUUCUUUGUCUGUCUCACUCUCUGUCUCAUUCUUUGUCUGUCUCACAUUCUGUCUCAUUCUUUGUCUGUCUCACUCUUUGCCUUACUCUCUUUCUAUGUCUCACUAUCCAGCUCACGCUUUUUCUGUCUCACUCUCUAGAUGCUCUUUGUCUACCUCACUAUAUCGAACCCUCCGUCUCUCUCUCUCUCUCUCUCUCUCUCUCUCUCUCUCUCUCUCUGAAGCCUGCCCCGUGACGAAAGCGGCGGUCACAUGACACUUUUAACGUCUCUUUACAGACAAUAAUCCAAAGAUGCAUCGUAAAAGAACGCAUGUGAGAUAAGAUUUAGAUUGAGAUAUAUAUGAGCUGGUUGAAAAGUGGAAUCUAUCUCUCCGAAAUAUUUGAAUUAAUCAACGCUAGCGUCCACCCUGAGGAGACGGGAAACUCCUCAGCUUCGUUUUUAGUUAACGUGAGGUCGCAGCGAGCUUACUACAUUAAACUGGUCUUAAUUAACUUCCGGUUAAUCAGCCGUGUAAGAGCGAAUCUGUUAAGCGGCUGAAACAUAUUACUCCGGCAGCAAUGAAGAGACGACGGUCCUGUCCCUCUACGAGAGAUGUGCUGGGACGGUGCACCGCGCAGCAGGAAGCGCGCAGCACAUCUCAGUUCUCGCAAAGAUGCGUGAAGGUCGUUCUUCCAAGGUAGCCGGGCAAGACCGGUUCUUCACAGACUUCACGAGAACGCAAGUCCGAUCUUCACGGUCUUAGACCUGAGAAACACGAUGAAUACAGAGCAGAUUCAUGAAAUACGUCCGUGUCGAUCAGUGAAACCGGUCCAUAUGUGACUCUCUGUGUGCUCUUCGUCUACCUCACUGUACCUGUUUCACUUUUUCCUGUCUCACUCUGACUGUCUC
ensembl:lncRNA